UACGUAGGUGACAAGCGUUAUCCGGAAUACUGGGCGUAAAGCGCACGCAGGCGGCUGCGUAAGUCUGACGUGAAAAUCUCCCGGCUUAACCCGGGAGCGGUCGUUUGGAAACUAUGCGGCUUGAGGCGAUGAGAGGGGUGUGGAAUUCCCGGUGUAGUGGUGGAAUGCGUAGAUAUCGGGAGGAACAUCAGUGGCGAAAGCGGCACCCUGGCAUUAGCCUGACGCUCAGGUGCGAAAGCGUGGGGAGCGAACGGGG
rnacentral:rRNA from 1 species